rnacentral:tRNA from 1 species
GGGGAUAUAGCUCAGUUGGUAGAGUGCUUGUCUUGCAAGCACAAGGUCCUGGGUUUGAUCCCUAGCAUUACUG